rnacentral:lncRNA from 1 species
GUCUGAUGUGGACUGUACCUGCCACGAGCAAGGCAGCAACUGGAAAGCAUCAGGGAAUCACGUUGCAUUAGUUCCUUCUAGCUGUGAGUGAUUAACUCAGUCCAUGAUACUGAAUCAUUUUACAGAACUGGGAUGAUUUUGAAGAAACCCCAAUGGAAUAUACACACAAACUCCUGGCAAUCAGCAAAGCAGUAACAGUUCAUGGAGCUGCCCUUCACAAACCUUGAAGUAGCUUUCAUCUUGCUGGCUUUUGUCAUUUUCUCCUUGUUUACCCUGGCUUCUAUCUACAGUGACCCCCAUGGCAACAAAGAAGAGGAAAGUUCCACACAGGAAGAGUACAAGAAAAGGAGACAAUCCAACAAGAAAAAGACACGUUCAAGUUUGACUGAAAUGGUUUAGAAUACUACUCAGGUCCACUGUUGGAAAUACUUCUGAAGGAUGUAGCUCUGGAAGCUACCUGAAGACAGUGAGAAAACGGAUGUGAGAAAGGAAGGACUCAGUCAUCCAUCAGAUGGAAUCCAGACGUGACAAUUAGAGUUAAUGAACCAUGACCCAUGAAGCUGCCUCAGCACCUUUUUACAACCCUGCUUCAUGGCCUUAAUGAAAGUACCGGGGCCUAUUUUACAGGGCACAUCUGCUCUACAUUCCAAAAGGAGAAACU